AAGCGGCAACAGCUCAAAUUUGAAAUCUGGCGCAAGCCCGAGUUGUAAUUUGUAGAGGAUGCUUCUAGGUAGCGACCGGUCUAAGUUCCUUGGAACAGGACGUCAUAGAGGGUGAGAAUCCCGUAUGUGACCGGCCCGCACCUUCUACGUAGCUCCUUCGACGAGUCGAGUUGUUUGGGAAUGCAGCUCUAAAUGGGAGGUAAAUUUCUUCUAAAGCUAAAUACCGGCCAGAGACCGAUAGCGCACAAGUAGAGUGAUCGAAAGAUGAAAAGCACUUUGGAAAGAGAGUUAAAAAGCACGUGAAAUUGUUGAAAGGGAAGCGCUCACAACCAGACUUCUGGGCGGUGUUCCGCCGGUCUUCUGACCGGUCUACUCACCGUCCCGAGGCCAACAUCAUCUGGGACCGCUGGAUAAGACCUCAGGAAUGUAGCUUCCCUCGGGAAGUGUUAUAGCCUGUGGUGAUGCAGCGCGUCUCGGGUGAGGUCCGCGCUUCGGCAAGGAUGUUGGCGUAAUGGUUGUCAGCGGCCCGUCUUGAAACACGGACCAAGGAGUCUAACAUCUAUGCGAGUGUUCGGGUGUCAAACCCCUACGCGUAAUGAAAGUGAACGGAGGUGGGAAGCGUAAGCUGCACCAUCGACCGAUCCUGAUGUCCUCGGAUGGAUUUGAGUAAGAGCAUAGCUGUUGGGACCCGAAAGAUGGUGAACUAUGCCUGAAUAGGGUGAAGCCAGAGGAAACUCUGGUGGA
rnacentral:rRNA from 1 species